GUUUUCCUUAAUUUUUCCUAAAAGUCAAAGAAAUCCUAAUCCUUCUUCCCUUUUGAUUGGGUUUGAUUCAUCCUUUCAAUUUCGAUUGAGUCUAUCUCAAAAUUCAUAAUGUUCAAAACUUUCUCUUACCUUUCUAUUGAAAUCUAUUGAAAAAUCAAAUGUGGAUUUUCAGUCGCAAAAUCCAAAAUUCAACUUUAUGAAAAUAGGAACCAUUAACUAUUGACUUAGAAUGCAUGAACGAUUCUUGGAUUUGAAUCUCCAAUUUUGGUUUUCCUAAUGACAUAAGAAAAUACAACUUGAUAUAUAACUAAUCAGUAUGGAUUUUUUCAAUCAAAAAAUCCUUCUCAAUUAUAAUUAUUAAUAAUAAUUAUAACAACAAUU
rnacentral:lncRNA from 1 species